rnacentral:rRNA from 1 species
GACGAACGCUGGCGGCGUGCUUAACACAUGCAAGUCGAACGGAAAGGCCCUGCUUGCAGGGUACUCGAGUGGCGAACGGGUGAGUAACACGUGGGUGAUCUGCCCUGCACUUCGGGAUAAGCCUGGGAAACUGGGUCUAAUACCGGAUAGGAGCCAUUUUUAGUGUGAUGGUUGGAAAGUUUUUUCGGUGUAGGAUGAGCUCGCGGCCUAUCAGCUUGUUGGUGGGGUAAUGGCCUACCAAGGCGGCGACGGGUAGCCGGCCUGAGAGGGUGGACGGCCACAUUGGGACUGAGAUACGGCCCAGACUCCUACGGGAGGCAGCAGUGGGGAAUAUUGCUCAAUGGGCGCAAGCCUGAUGCAGCGACGCCGCGUGGGGGAUGACGGCCUUCGGGUUGUAAACUCCUUUCGCUAGGGACGAAGCUUUUUGUGACGGUACCUAGAUAAGAAGCACCGGCUAACUACGUG